rnacentral:misc_RNA from 1 species
GAAAUGCGAUAACUAAUGUGAAUUGCAGAAUUCAGUGAAUCAUCGAGUCUUUGAACGCACAUUGCGCCCCCUGGUAUUCCGGGGGGGCAUGCCUGUCCGAGCGUCAUUGCUGCCCUCAAGCCCGGCUUGUGUGUUGGGUCGCCGUCCCCCUCUCCGGGGGGACGGGCCCGAAAGGCAGCGGCGGCACCGCGUCCGAUCCUCGAGCGUAUGGGGCUUUGUCACAUGCUCUGUAGGAUUGGCCGGCGCCUGCCGACGUUUUCCAACCAUUCUUUCCAGGUUGACCUCGGAUCAGGUAGGGAUACCCGCUGAACUUAAGC